rnacentral:lncRNA from 1 species
CUAUUUUAAUAAAAUUUUAAUUUUAUUAUUUUUUUUUAUGAAAUGAAGAUUAUUUUAGAUUUAAAUUAGAUCCAUUUCGAUGGAUAUUUAGAUCUGAAUCCUAUCAUAAUUCAGUACUGCGCGAAAAUAGAUUUUAUCAGAAAUUAAUUUCUUAUGCAUUCAUAUUUACAUCUAAUUAUUUUUCUAUUUGAUAUCAAAUCUAAAAUUAAUAUUUUAUAAUUAGUAUAAGAUAAGUUUUAGAUUUGAUAUGAUAUAUAUGAUACAUCAAAUCUAAUUGGAUAAGAUGAAGAACAUAAUUGAUGAGAUCAAGAAUAUGUUCAUGACAUAAAAUAGUUUUGUCAAUAAUUACAUGUUGAUGUAAUUAUAUAUGAAAUUAAAUUUUAGAUCUUAGUAGCCUAGUACUCAGAUUGAUGAGAUCACCAGACCAUCUGAUCAUAAG